rnacentral:rRNA from 1 species
UACGAAGGGGCUAGCGUUGCUCGGAAUCACUGGGCGUAAAGCGCACGUAGGCGAAUUGUUAAGUCAGGGGUGAAAUCCUGGAGCUCAACUCCAGAACUGCCUUUGAUACUGGCGAUCUUGAGUCCGGGAGAGGUGAGUGGAACUGCGAGUGUAGAGGUGAAAUUCGUAGAUAUUCGCAAGAACACCAGUGGCGAAGGCGGCUCACUGGCCCGGUACUGACGCUGAGGUGCGAAAGCG